ACCUGGCUGGCUCAGUUGGUAGAGCAUGUGACUCUUGAUCUCUAGGUUGUGAGUUUGAGCCCCACGUUGGGUG
rnacentral:tRNA from 1 species